GAGAGUUAAACAGUACGUGAAAUUGUUGAAAGGGAAACGAUUGAAGCCAGUCGUACCUUCGGGUAAUCAGCCUUUCGGGUGCGAUUCUGUGGAGUUUGAGGAGCUUAACACCUUCAUGCUUUGCAUAUUCGUGCUCUUGGGUGUACUUGCCCGUGUGGUUGGUUAACAUCAAUUUUGGUGGUCAUAAAAUGACUGGAGGAAUGUAGCUUCGAUCUUGUAUUGAAGUGUUAUAGCCUUCGGUAGAUGUGAUGAUCGAGAUUGAGGAUUGCAACGGAUACCCUUCGGGGCUACCUGUCUGAUCUCUGAUCGUUGCUCUGGUGCCGAAAGCUUGCUUACGGUUAUCAAAGUCGAUGGUCAAUAGGUUAGAACGGGUUAAAUUCGUUAAGGAUGUUGACGUAAUGGCUUUAAACGA
rnacentral:rRNA from 1 species